ensembl:lncRNA
AUGACGUCACAGCCUGGGUUUUCUCCCUAGCUCGCGUGGCUGUGCGGGAGGAGGCAGCAGGGGCGCGGCCUCCCGGGCCGGGCACCCCAAACCCGCUCUCUACCUGACCCCUGACCCCGGCGUUUGUCAGGCCUGUUAUUACGCUCCUUCCGGCCCGGCCCGCUGUAGCCCUGCCUGGCACGUGCUCUUUCCCCCCCCCCCCCCCUCCGCUCCCUGGUGUCCAGCGCGGACGCCGUGACCUUGUCCUGGUCACCUCCUCCCCCUGACCAGCCCCUUGGGGAGGGGGGGGGGGGGAAAUAAAGGCCUGAAUUUUUAAAAAAAGCACUUUCGUGUAUCUCCAACUCUUCCUGACCCCAUCUGAGGCUUUCUGGCAAAAAGACUGCAGCGGUUUGCCUUCCGGCUCGUUUUACAAAUGAGGAAAUUGAGGCAGAAGUGACUGGGCCAAGGUCACACAGCAAGUAUGGGAGCCCGGAUGUGAGCUUAGCGAGAGCAGGCGCCCUCAGUGCAAGGCCGCAGUACUACUCGACCUACCUCUUUCUGAUUUUAUUAUUCAUGACGAUCUUGCUUGCUGUGACUGCAAAUUGUGAAGCGCUUCAACUAUCUGAAUCCCUGAAAGAUCUAAUAGAAGUCAUUACUUCCUUAGGACUCUACAAGGUUGGAACUCAUAGGCUUAAAAGAUGUUCUGUUUUUCCUACAUUUGAUUGGAUUUCCUUAUCAAACUGCUGUUCUUUCCAAGCCCAAGCAUAAGGAUUUUGAGUUGCUCUAGCAAGACCAUUGUAUGGUUUGUGGUGACAAAACUAUUAAAAGUUAUUACCAUAGAUAACUAUAUAAAUGUGUAUACAUAUAUUGGAUUUAACAUAUAUUUUAACAUAUUUAACAUGUAUGGGGCUACCUGCCAUCUAGGGGAGGGAGUGGGGAGAAGAAGGGGAAAAGCUGGAACAGAAGGUUUGGCAAGGGGUCGAUUUUGAAAAAUUAUCCAUGCAUAUGUUUUGUAAAUAAAAAGCUAUAAUAAAAAAAGGCAUAACAAAGGUGUUGCUAUAAGAGUCUUACCUGUGGUUUCUAUGCAUGCUUUGGAAGCCAUAGUUCAAAAAGAAGUGAAAAAAAUCAGUUUUAUAAGACUUCUACCAGUAAUUGUAAAAUCACCAAAUCCACCAAACUAGAUUGUAGAGCUUGCUGCCUUAACCAGUGUUAUCAAACUGGAAUGGCUUCUCAAAAUUUUAAAAAACAUCUAGCAAUUCUUCAGCAAGAAAUCCAGUUUCUUAAGCCUGGAAAGACUUACAUGAACUUACAUGAUGUUAAAUGAAGUGAAUAGAACCAAGAAAACAUUGUACAUAGCAACAAGAAGGUUACGUGAUGAUCAACUAUAAUGGACUUGGCUCUUUUCAAUAAUAAGAUGAUUCAAGUCAAUUCCAAUAGACUUCUGAUGGAAAGAUCCAUCUUCAUCCAGGGAGAGAACUAUGGAGACUGAAUGUGAAUUAGAUUAUAGUGUUUUUGCCUUUUUUGUUGUUUGAUUGCUUUCUUUUUUUUCAUCUUUUGAUCUGAUUUUUCUUAUACAACAUGACAAAUAUGGAAAUAUGUUUAGAAGAACUGCACAAGUUUAACCUAUAUUUUAUUGUUCAUUGUCUAUGGGAGGGG